UGCAGUCGAGCGGGGGAAGGUAGCUUGCUACUGGACCUAGCGGCGGACGGGUGAGUAAUGCUUAGGAAUCUGCCUAUUAGUGGGGGACAACAUCUCGAAAGGGAUGCUAAUACCGCAUACGUCCUACGGGAGAAAGCAGGGGAUCUUCGGACCUUGCGCUAAUAGAUGAGCCUAAGUCGGAUUAGCUAGUUGGUGGGGUAAAGGCCUACCAAGGCGACGAUCUGUAGCGGGUCUGAGAGGAUGAUCCGCCACACUGGGACUGAGACACGGCCCAGACUCCUACGGGAGGCAGCAGUGGGGAAUAUUGGACAAUGGGGGGAACCCUGAUCCAGCCAUGCCGCGUGUGUGAAGAAGGCCUUAUGGUUGUAAAGCACUUUAAGCGAGGAGGAGGCUACUUUAGUUAAUACCUAGAGAUAGUGGACGUUACUCGCAGAAUAAGCACCGGCUAACUCUGUGCCAGCAGCCGCGGUAAUACAGAGGGUGCGAGCGUUAAUCGGAUUUACUGGGCGUAAAGCGUGCGUAGGCGGCUUAUUAAGUCGGAUGUGAAAUCCCCGAGCUUAACUUGGGAAUUGCAUUCGAUACUGGUGAGCUAGAGUAUGGGAGAGGAUGGUAGAAUUCCAGGUGUAGCGGUGAAAUGCGUAGAGAUCUGGAGGAAUACCGAUGGCGAAGGCAGCCAUCUGGCCUAAUACUGACGCUGAGGUACGAAAGCAUGGGGAGCAAACAGGAUUAGAUACCCUGGUAGUCCAUGCCGUAAACGAUGUCUACUAGCCGUUGGGGCCUUUGAGGCUUUAGUGGCGCAGCUAACGCGAUAAGUAGACCGCCUGGGGAGUACGGUCGCAAGACUAAAACUCAAAUGAAUUGACGGGGGCCCGCACAAGCGGUGGAGCAUGUGGUUUAAUUCGAUGCAACGCGAAGAACCUUACCUGGCCUUGACAUACUAGAAACUUUCCAGAGAUGGAUUGGUGCCUUCGGGAAUCUAGAUACAGGUGCUGCAUGGCUGUCGUCAGCUCGUGUCGUGAGAUGUUGGGUUAAGUCCCGCAACGAGCGCAACCCUUUUCCUUACUUGCCAGCAUUUCGGAUGGGAACUUUAAGGAUACUGCCAGUGACAAACUGGAGGAAGGCGGGGACGACGUCAAGUCAUCAUGGCCCUUACGGCCAGGGCUACACACGUGCUACAAUGGUCGGUACAAAGGGUUGCUACACAGCGAUGUGAUGCUAAUCUCAAAAAGCCGAUCGUAGUCCGGAUUGGAGUCUGCAACUCGACUCCAUGAAGUCGGAAUCGCU
rnacentral:rRNA from 1 species